CCACAGCUGCCGUUGAAUCAGCGAAAAAACCAAUAGUAUCUCCUUCGCACGAUCUGGUUCACACAAACACGUCGAAGGUAGAGGAGGCCGCGAGAUACUGGUCUUAUUCACGCACUCAAAGGGACUCCUUCUGACCUCACUUCCUCUCCUUCCUUUUCUGGCUUUUCUUCUUUGCUUUUGAGCCCAUGUCGUUCAAUCUCUUCUGCUACUCUGCGAUCCCCCUUCUCUAAAUCAAUCUCUAAAUGGCUGAUGUUUUACGAAUACCAUCUUUUUACUCACCUCGUUUCUCUUCUUCUUUGCUCACCUCCUUCGCCUCUACCUUGAAUUCUCUCCAACCUCCUCUCCAACCGCCUCUCCCACCCAACAAUUCAGAUAAGAGGAUUUACCCUUUAGUAUAUUCUUCUGCUG
rnacentral:misc_RNA from 1 species